AUACUCGCUUCAGCGGCACAUAUACUAAAAUUGGAAUGAUACAGAGAAGAUUAGCAUGGCCCCUGCGCAAGGAUGACACGCAGUGAUUCACUCCCCAAAUGG
ensembl:snRNA U6 U6 spliceosomal RNA